GCAGCUACAGUUGAAUGGUUACGGUGUUCGCUUUGUAAGCGAAUGGUUCUGGGUUCGAUUCCCAUCUGCUCCU
rnacentral:tRNA from 1 species